rnacentral:rRNA from 1 species
CUACGGGUGGCAGCAGUGAGGAAUAUUGCACAAUGGGGGAAACCCUGAUGCAGCAACGCCGCGUGGAGGAUGACGCAUUUCGGUGUGUAAACUCCUUUUAUCAGAGAAGAAGAUGACGGUAUCUGAUGAAUAAGCUCCGGCUAACUCCGUGCCAGCAGCCGCGGGUAAUACGGAGGGAGCAAGCGUUAUUCGGAAUCACUGGGCGUAAAGGACGCGUAGGCGGGUUAGAAAGUCAGGUGUGAAAGCCAACAGCUCAACUGUUGAACAGCACUUGAAACUCCUAACCUAGAGUAUGGAAGGGGCAGAUGGAAUUAGUGGUGUAGGGGUAAAAUCCGUAGAUAUCACUAGGAAUACCGAAAGCGAAAGCGAUCUGCUGGGACAUUACUGACGCUGAGGCGUGAAAGCGUGGGGAGCAAACAGGAUUAGAUACCCGUGUAGUC